rnacentral:lncRNA from 1 species
GCCAACAUUACAUCAACAAAACUACACCUGUAAGAAAUAUUACAAGGCCAACAUUACAUCAACAAACUACACCUUAUAAGUCCUAAUGCACAUCACAGUUAUGAACCUAAACAGCCAAUUUACAACAUCAAUACCAAUUGAAUCAGUUGAAUGAGUUCAACGCAAAACUUAUGCAAUUAGCAUCAAUAUCAGUAGAAUGAGUUCAACGCAAAACUUCAACAAUUAGAUUUCAACAUCUAUAUUCCCAACAACAGCAAAGCAGUGGCAAUAACACCAAUAAUAUAUAAUCUUCUUGCUCGAUUUUAAUUUCCUUCAAACGCCUUCACUUUUUUCAACAAACCCCAAAUCACUCUAUUUGCUUGUGAAGGGUGUCGUUCUUCAUACCAAUGAAAAUAAUCACAGUUGCCCAAUUUCUACAAAAUCAAUUACAAAAUUGAUGAAAAAUCAUAAUUAAUCAACUAAUUUAAUUAAGAAGUCAAAAACAUUACCUUUGAAAGUUUACAAGUAAAAAAUCGACGGCCUGAAUUUUGUUGAGUCCAAGAAGUCUUCAGUAAUGCUUGAUGACCACAUUUACAAUAGCGGUAAUCAUUUUCAAAAUAGGUUAUGAACGACGAGCUCGAUAUUGUCCAAUAUAAUUUGAGAAAAUUUAGAAAAAGAUUAAACUUUAGAGAAAUUGAAGAAUAAAUUUUCCGUUCAAAAUAAAAUCUAAAAUUAAUCUAAGGCCUAAUUUAAGGAAGUUGAGAAGAAUGAAGAAAUUUGAGAAAUUAGGGUUAUUUUUGGAUGGUGGAUUGAAGAAGAAAGUAAUAUAAAUAGUGGAAAGAGAGAUAUAACCGUUGGGGGCUGAUUUUUAUACCGAAUCAGCAAAAAAUGAGGCUUGGACGCGCCUCAGCAGCGUGUGAAACACGAACUUUGCCAACAGGGCAAAAAGUGUCAA